ensembl:lncRNA
CUGCUGCACAAGUGCCACUUCUCUGAGGGAGUUUCUCUGAUCGUCCCAUCUGGAAAGCCAGGAAGACAGAUGGUAGAGGUUCAAGAUCCCACAACCACUCUUGCCUCAUCCAAGGACAAAAGGAAGGUGAAGGGGCUGCGUGUCAGUUCCCACUGCACUCCUGUGCCACUGCAGAGCUCUCACAUCCAGGUUGAGAAGAUGGGCUUUUGGGAGAGGAAGACUGCUCCCUCAUGUGAGGAUGCAGGUUUUUGAGCCUUCAAGACCGUUUUACUGGUCUGCAUUUUUUUGGAUCAUUUUCUAAAGGAGAUCAAGGCCAGCAUUCCUCGCUGCCAUGGGAUUGCGUAUUGAAGAAAUGUCAUUGGAUACUGCACUAAAGCUGUGGCUGCUCUUUCUGCUUCCUACAUUCAUUUUCCACUGUGGAGUUGAGAGAGACACUUGU